rnacentral:sRNA from 1 species
CCCUAGCCCUGAUAGCAGUGGAAAUCCUUUUUUGAGGCUUUUCGCCGAAAAAAAGAUUGUAACGGAUAGCAGGAAACAGC